UGGGGAAUAUUGGACAAUGGGCGAAAGCCUGAUCCAGCCAUGCCGCGUGUGUGAAGAAGGUCUUCGGAUUGUAAAGCACUUUAAGUUGGGAGGAAGGGCAGUAAGCGAAUACCUUGCUGUUUUGACGUUACCGACAGAAUAAGCACCGGCUAACUCUGUGCCAGCAGCCGCGGUAAUACAGAGGGUGCAAGCGUUAAUCGGAAUUACUGGGCGUAAAGCGCGCGUAGGUGGUUCGUUAAGUUGAAUGUGAAAGCCCCGGGCUCAACCUGGGAACUGCAUCCAAAACUGGCGAGCUAGAGUAGAGCAGAGGGUGGUGGAAGUUCAUGUGUAGCGGUGAAAUGCGUAGAUAUAGGAAGGAACACCAGUGGCGAAGGCGACCACCUGGGCUCAUACUGACACUGAGGUGCGAAAGCGUGGGGAGCAAACAGG
rnacentral:rRNA from 1 species